UCCCUGGUGGCUCAGACGGUAGAGAAUCUGCCUGCAAAGAAGGAGGCCCAGGUUCAGUCCCUGGUUUGGGAA
rnacentral:tRNA from 1 species